UCUUUGUACUCUUCUCUUUGAGACAGGCCAAAUCUGGACCCCAAGGAAGGCAACACUUGUCAACACUUGUGCUGAAGCCGACAUUGUCACCAUGAUAAUCGAUUUCUUCUAGCAUUGAAGGAGCUAGCUGAUGGGGCAGAUCACCACAGACAGCAUAAACAGCGUUGGCAACCAUAACCUGUGACUCUUCGUUGUGGAAGCGACUGGAGCUGUGAAACCACACCAUGGACUCUUGAUAACUUCACUGUGUGCCAGGGUGUCCUUGAUACACCAUCAGGCAUUUUUGUGGCUAUCCACGUUGUCUGGUGUGUUCAUCACAUGUUGUGAUGUCAUUUUUGUCAUGACUCAGUGAUCCAUCGAAACAACCAUCGCCUUGGGUUUUUCAGUCAACAACAGUGGGUGGGUUCGUUGUGCACUAAAGGAAAUGACAACCAGGCUCAAUGCCUAGAACGAGGCCGACAGGGUGUUUCACGCUUCGAAGUUCUUAUAGCUGCUAUUGCACCGCUCGUCAGGAUAUCACGACUUUCAUUUGUCAGACUGCAAAGACAUGUUGUCUGGAUUAGCCGGACAGAAACGUCUGAGGUACUUGUAAGAU
rnacentral:misc_RNA from 1 species